UCCGUCGGUGAGCUUCCUCUAGUCCGGCGAUUGGACGAGCUCAGCCGACCCCUCCGCGAAUUCUGGCUGCGCUGGUUUGAUGCACGCGCGCCGUCUUGAUCCGCCCCUGCUUCGAGCUCGGAGUUCGUAUUUCGGCCCGGCGGAUUCUAGGGUUCCAUGCUUGCGUUCCGAAUUGGGGUGUGUGCUGAUUAUCCCCUCGAUGUUUUCACCGGCUUCGGAAUCUGGUAGCUGAUUAGCGAUUAGUGCUUGUGAUUCUGGUUCCGCCUGGCUCGGAUCAUUUUAGGGCUUAAUAAUAAUCCUUCUGCGUUUCCGUGUCUUAUGUGUCAAGGCAGGUGCUGGAAAGGCGAUGCGCGCCCUCGUGUUCUUGGUGCUCGUUAGGUGCAUUGGUGGCCGGCUGCUCUUUUCAGGUAUUCUAUUCAGGUUUUGGUGCACGAUUGGCUUGCUUCCAGUGUUUCGAAUAUCUGGCUCGACGCUCGGUUGAUUCUGUUUCAUUCAGCAAGGGUGUAAAUAUGCAAUAGCAGUUUUAUGAGGUAGGAUAAAUUAAGAGGAUAAGAGCUGUAUCUUUCAAAGCUUGAAAAUGUUAACGCGUUUGGUAGAGUUCAUGUGUUCUUACUUGGUGAUCAUCCUUUCUGUGUGCUUGCGUUUUGAAUUUUGUGGACAAAAUUGCGAGCUUCAGUUUCUUUAAGAAGUAGCACGAUGAGCACCAGAUGUGUCAUUUGUGGCCCUUAUGAAAUGUUAGGUUUGGUCGUACUUCUCAGUUGCUGGUGGUCAUAAGAGUAUUGCUGUGGCCAAACGCCGAACAGAGUUCAUUUUCAGUGUCAUCAGGCUAGUUGAUUACCCUUUGAAUGUUUCAUGAACACAAAUGCUAGUUGUGAUCAGCAUAGUUUUGUAAGCCUUGAUAGGAUGCGCAUAGACAAAUGCUAAAAUAUUAAUCAACAAGAUAACCCUGGUUAAUCAGUUUUUUCUAGCUCAUACCAGAGAACCCAAGAUCUUUACUCUGUUCAGGAUCUCAGAAGCUGCAUGUAGUAAAUAAGAGCCUGCUUGGUUUGGAGCCACAUUUUGGCAAAGCUCAAACUUGCCAACAUUUGGCAACUUUGCUAGUGUUCGAUUCGAAGAAUUGCCAAAAAUUGGAGCCCAAGCAUUCAUGUGCCAACUUUUAGGGUUGCCAAAAUUUGGCUCAAACCAAGUAGUCUCUAAAUAUUUAUAUAUGAAAUCUCAUGUCUACAACAUCCUUCUACUUUUCGUGAUCAAUUUACUUAGCUAUCUGUUAUGUGUAGUUUGUUCCUUUUGACAUUUGCUAAAAUUCUGGUGAGCACACACAUUAACCAUCAAUAUUUUGAAGAACGCAUAAAGCGACGCUUUUAUGGUUGGAUAUUCUGUAGUUCUUUCUGCCUUCAGAUCUAAGCAAUCGACUACACUUAUGAAUAGAUGAUUAUAUGCAGUGGAACCUUCUAGUAUCCUUUUUCUUCCCUAUAACACUAAAACAUUGCAUUGUUAUGACAAUUUAUGAACAUACAAGUCUAAUCUCCAGAAUUGCCAUGUUCGUUAAAAGGUGAUGGCAUAAAUACCAAUAUGCCCACUCUACAAAGAGCCUUCAAGACAUUCACCAGCACUGCAGUAUCUCCUUACAUUUGUGCCGAGGCUGGUGUUGUGCCUUAUGACUCUUAUUAAUAGCAACAUAAAAUGUGUACACGGUACAACUUGGAGUAGCUUUAACAUCCUUCACUAUGUUUAGUUUGUAACUACUGGCAUCUGCUAUUGGUCCCUCAUAAAUGUAGUUACUUAAUCACACUAUUUCCUGUGCAGAUUUCAUGUUUGUUGCACACCUGUCCUGUUAAUCGAUAACCCAAGGAAGCUCUUUUUGUAGCGUAAAUAAGGUAUGUGCCCUCUGUUCUAUCUCCACACUUACCAUUCGCUAAUUGCUUAGUACCUCUACUUUCAUGCUGAAAGUUCUAGUGAAUUUUCAUUUUACAGGUUUAUAAUUUCAAGCAUCAAGACAAGCUUUAACUUAUUAUCCAAUAAACUUGUGGUAAGUAAGUUCUUUAACAUGUAAUCUGUUGGGGUUUGUGCAUUGAUUACAAGUCAAGAGACUAGUCUAGCGACUAGUCUAUGAGUCGCAUUCUGGGUGUCGACUAGAAAUCUCGUGUAGAAGUAGUUCGCCGUUCGGCUCAAUUUUUUUUCUUUUAGGGACUGGGAGGGGAUAAGUGAGCCAGCCUACCAGCCCGCAGCCUCCAAUAUUUCUGCUCUCCCUGGAUCUGCCGGCCCUUUCCCUCCAAUAUUUCUGCUCUCCCUGGAUCUGCCGGCCCUUUCCCUCCAAUACUUCUGCUCUCCCUGGAUCUGCCCCUACGGUCUCCCUCCCUCUGCUGGCUAUUGGAUCUGCCUGUCUGCCAGGUUGCAGCAAACAAGCAAGCAAGCAUANNNNNNNNNNNNNNNNNNNNNNNNNNNNNNNNNNNNNNNNNNNNNNNNNNNNNNNNNNNNNNNNNNNNNNNNNNNNNNNNNNNNNNNNNNNNNNNNNNNNNNNNNNNNNNNNNNNNNNNNNNNNNNNNNNNNNNNNNNNNNNNNNNNNNNNNNNNNNNNNNNNNNNNNNNNNNNNNNNNNNNNNNNNNNNNNNNNNNNNNNNNNNNNNNNNNNNNNNNNNNNNNNNNNNNNNNNNNNNNNNNNNNNNNNNNNNNNNNNNNNNNNNNNNNNNNNNNNNNNNNNNNNNNNNNNNNNNNNNNNNNNNNNNNNNNNNNNNNNNNNGUCUGAACCGCAAUGUCUACCCACUGGAGAUAUCUCAUGUAGUGUGUUCAGAAGCAGCUGCAGCUAUGAGCAAUACGGUCCAUCAAAGGAUCCUGCAAAAGCCAACUAGGAGCAAGGAUCCAGCAUGGAAAUACGCUUAUUGGCCUGACAUGCAGAACAAAUUGAUUACUGCAAGUUGUGUGCUACAGUACCAUAUCGACUAGUCCAACAGUAGUCUAGACUAAUCACGAUUAGUCUAUAGUGUCAACCUUCGAACGACUCGUAAACUUCGAAAUAGAACAAAACUAGGACAAACUGAAUAGGCUCAUGGCAUCAUUUCUUAUGAUAAAUGAUAAUGAAUACGUACUGCUAUGAUUUUGUCAAGUUUCCAUGUCAAUAGUCUCAGUGUUACUAUACAUUUGAUAUUUUGUGUUUAUCAUUUUUUUUGAACAAACAAAUGGCGCACCAGGCGCCCAUACUAUUGCAUUAAUCUGAGAAACAAUUUACACGUAUAAGUACAAAUCCCUGCAUUUGAGUGUGCAUUAAUCUCUGAAGCAGGGGACAAUGCCCUCUAGUAUGAACAGGAUUAGUGCAACUAAACCUAUGGAUAGGAGAAGCUACAUGAUCCUGUGUGAUUGCUAACCUUGCAGCUUUAUGCGCUAUGCUGUUUUGAUCUCUGUUAACAUGGUAGACCUGAAUGUUCCUGAACUCUGUCAUUGCACAAAAGUCUGCUAUAUAGCUUCUUAUCUGCCAAUUCCCUGGUUCCUUCCUUGGCGAUCUUGCUGCUGCAGCUUUUGCCACAGUGAGGUUGUCUGUUAGCACUGCAGCUUCCUGAAUGUGCAGAUAUUCCAAAAGAUUUGCUGCCAACUUUAGACCCUGUGCUUCUGCUUGAACAGCUGAAUUAGCUAUCAUCCCUAUGGCUGAAAUUGAUGCUUGAAGGUUUGAGUAACCUUGCUUAAGUUGAAUGUAGACACCUAUUCCUGCUUGUGCUCCUUCAUUUCCGUUCUGACUCUCCUGUAGAUUCCAUGCUGCAUCUGUGAAGAAUGUGUUUUGUGUAGAAAGCUUGGAUGCAUCAAUUGUGUUUCCCUGCCUUAGUUCCUCCCUUUUGUCCUGCAUAGGUAUCUUAUUCUUGCAUAGAUUAUUAUGAUCUGCUUCUAAUUUAAAAGAGUUUGUAAUUGCUUGUGCUGCAAAAGAGACAUGUAUAGGGGAGCCUUCUUUCCUUUGGAAAAGCUUCUCAUUUCUAACUUUCCAUAGACACCACAUGAAUGUGAAAAUAUUGUUUAAACUUGCAUGAGGAUGGUCUGAACUGAGCAGAUUUAAAAUAAUGGUGAUGAUUGAAGUGGAAUUACUAAUAAAGUUGUCCAUUCUAAUGUACCAUGGUUUUGCAAACCAAGCUUCUCUAGCAUAAGGACAAGUAAAAAAGAUAUACCGUUCAUCUUCUUCAACACUGCAUCUUGAGCAUUUUUUAUCUAUAUGCUUCGAAUAUUUACCUGCUCUUCUGCCUGUUGGAAGCGCUUUUCUAAUUAGCCUCCAUGCAAAUGUUUGAACCGUCGGUGCAAUGUCUUUGGCCUUCCAUAUCUGCUUUAAAAGGGCUUUUGUAUUGUCUGGAAUGACCCUUGGCUGCGGCUCUCCUUCCUGUUGCAUCACCUGUAGGCAUAAUUUAUAAGCACUUUUGGAGUUGAAUUGUCCUGUUUGAGUUAGUUUCCAACACAAAAGAUCUUCUCCGCCGGAUUGGAUAAUGGGCGUUCGGAUUAUUUCUGCAGCAGUAUCAUGAUCAAAAAGGUUGCAAAUAAGAUUAGUAUUCCAAAGUUUCUGAUUUGGCAGCCAAAGGUCUCUGACUAUUGCAGGGUAAUCAAAAUGACUAUCUUGGAUAAUCAGAUGAUCGUAGAUUGUGCUCCAGCCUUUAUACCAGGGAGAGCUCCAAAUAGAUAUGUUCCCUUCGGUAAGUUGAUAAAAAGAGUUGUUGAUGAGCAUAGGUCUAAUUUUGAGAAUAGCUGUCCAAAAAGCAGAUUUAGGAACAUUAUGGUUGGCUCUCCAAAAGGAAGUAUCAGGAAAAUAUUUAGAUUGAAGGACUUUGGAAAUGUGACUGUUGGGUUGUUCCACUAUUCUCCAAGCAGCAGAUAGAAUCAUAGCUCUGUUAGUGGCUUGCAUGUUCUUGAUACCUAAUCCACCUUCAUUCUUAGGGGAACAUAUGUCCUUCCAGGCUCUAAGGCAAAGAGAUUUAGCACUGGUUUCUUCUUUUAUCCCUGUCCACCAAAAAUUUCUAAUGAUAGCAUUAAGCUUUGACAGGAAUUUCUUAGGAAAAAGAAUGUUAGACAUAUAAUAAACAGGGAUUGAAGCAAAAACAGAAUUAAUUAGGGUGAGUCUUCCUGCAUGCGAGAGUUUAUUUGCUUUGUAGCUAGGAAGUUUGGCCUUGAAUUUGUCAAUGACAAAGUUGUAGGCAGAUGCCCUGUCUUUGGCAGGAAGAAUGAGAGGAUGUCCCAGGUGAAUGGAUUUUUGAUCUAUAGUAGGAACAUGAAAGUCUUGAUGGCAUUCUGAGUGUUGAUGUCAACUCCUUUGCUAAAUAGAAUAGCAGAUUUGCUCCAAUUUGGAGUUUGAGCAGAUUGUGUACAGAAAGAUUGGAUGAUUUGAUUCAUUGUAGUUGCUUCUUGGAUGGUGGCCUGGCCACAGACUAAUAAGUCAUCAGCGAACAUGAGAGAAUGAAUUGAGGGGCAUUUUGGUCCAAGCGAAAUACCUGUCAAAUGCUUGGACAUCAUGGCCUCUUGCAUAGUGAUAGAAAGCUCAUUAAUGGCAAUAACAAAAAGAUAAGGUGAGAGGGGACAACCUUGUCUGAUUCCUCUGCUGCUACGGAAUCUCGCAUACGAUUGGCCAUUUAUUAUGACAGAGAACAUUGGAGUGGAAAUACAUGCAUGGAUUAAAUUACUAAAAUGACCAUGAAGUCCUUUACGAGUUAGUGCAGAGAAAAUGAAGCUCCAAUGCAAACAGUCAAAAGCCUUAGCAAGAUCAAUUUUUAGCAUAAAGGCAGGAGAAUUCCACGAUCUCAGGGUAAAAGAAUGAGUAAUUUCCUGAGCAAUAAUGAUAUUGUUACUAAUUCUCCUUCCUUGAAUGAAGGCUUGCUGAGAGGGAUGGAUGUAAUCAGGGAGAUGGGGCUUUAACCUAUUAGCCAAAGUUUUUGCAAUGAUUUUGUAAAUAACAUUACAAAGACUAAUAGGUCUAAAAUCAGCAGGAGUCUUGCAAACAAUUUUCUUUGGUAUCAAGACAAUGUUUGUAUUAUUAAUAUGACUAGGCAUGAUACCUGUGAUAUAGAAUUUCCUUACCAAAUCAGUUACAUCAUCUCCAAUCCAUUCCCAUGCUGCUAUAUAGAAGGCUACAUUUAGUCCAUCUGGGCCUGGUGAAGCAUUUCUUCUCAUCUCAUUUAGUAUCUGCCAAAUCUCCUGCUUGUCGGGAAUACUAGUAGUAGGAUCUUGCUGAUGAGCAUCUGGUUGAGUUCGUAGGUAUGGCCUUCCAUGAUCUGCAUUAUUAGUCUGGAAAAUUUGUUUGAAAUAGUCCACAAAUACACGAGCAAUUUUUUCAGGAUUAAAAUGAGUCACAUUAUUAGUAUCUGUGAUUGAAACAAUCUGAUUCUUUCUUCUGCGCUUGAUGACAGCAUUAUGAAAGUAACUUGUGUUCCUGUCUCCUUUAGUUGCCCAAUGUUUUUUUGCCCUUUGGCUGUAAAAUUCUGUCAACUUUGUUAGAUUUUCUUCAUACCUGUUCACGAGAGAUGCUUCAAGUUUAUGAUUUUGUUCCUGCAUCGGCUUCAUUUGUAUAUUUUUUAUUUGCUCCUCCAAUAGAUUGAGUUCCUGGUUAAUUGGUUUUUUCUUUCUGCACCAUUCCUUCAAUGCUCCUGCAAGGUGGUUAGUCCUUGCAUAAAAAGGCCUAUGAGCAGUGCUUUGCCAAGCAGAUUUUGCACAAGGUUGAAAAUCUUCUUCCAUAAGCCACCAAUUCUCAAAUUUAAAAUUUUGCAAAGGCUUUUUAAACUUGCCUUAUGUAGAGACAAGAAUGGGAGCAUGGUCACUAAUAGUGAUAGGCAUAUUAUAAACAUUAGUGACAGGAUAAAGAGCACACCAUUCUGCAUUUGCUAAACAUCUAUCAAGUCGUUCAUAUAUAGGAUUGGAAGAAUAUCUUUUGUUUGUCCAAGUGUAAGCCGGACCACUGUAGCCAAGGUCAAAUAAACCACAAGUUUUGACCAGAUUACGAAAGGCAAACAUACGAGUAGCAUUCAUAUGGGGAGAACUUUUGUCCAUAUCAUACAAGAUAUUGUUAAGAUCUCCCAUACAAACUAUUGGCUUGUUGGCAUUAUCAUACACAAAAGAUGCCACAAGGUCCCAAAUCUGGUCUGUUUGGCGGUGGUAGGGAUCACCAUAGAUACAAACCAGAGCAAACUCCUCCCUAGUUACUCUAUUAACUACUAAAGAUAGGAUAACAUGGAAAUUAGAAAUAUGUACAUUGAUUUGGAGGUCGUCAUGCCACAUCAGCCAGAGUCCUCCCGAGCGACCCUUGGAAGGAACUACAAAACUAUUAGCCAUAUCAAAACGUUGGUUUAAAUCAGCCGGCUUAUAUUUGGAGGUUUUAAUUUCUGAAACAAAAGUGACCUGAGCUUUGGUGGCAUGAAUCAACCUAGCCAGGUAGCACAUCUUGUUACUGCCAAGUCCCUGGCCUAUACCUCGGCAGUAUUUUGUGUUUAUCAUGAAACAGUAUUAUUAUCGUUCAGUAGUUUCAUAAUAGUGAAUCAUACAUUUAUUCUUCACUUAGAUUCGUCUUCAAGACGUUGAUCUUGAUAGUUUCACUUAUUUUUGUAGUGCUCUGAACUUAGUAAUGCUUGAUUAUGCUUUACUAAAUUUAAUCUGCCUUGUGAAGUAGUAAUAUAUCUGAUAAUGUUGGACAUAGCUUCACAUCAUAUGUUUAAAUGUGCAAUUACUGAAUAUUCGUGUCAUUUCACUAUUUUUUCUUGUUCUAAUGCAGAGCAGCAGAUGAUUAACAGAUCAGAGAGGAUUACUUCAAGGGAAUAGAAGAAAUACUGGUCAAAAGACAAAGAUUCCAUUAACCACAGGUCCAGAGAGGCCUCGGGCACUGCUCCCCACUCUCAGUAUUUACAUUUCACUACAUUAUGUACAGUCA
rnacentral:lncRNA from 1 species